GAAUGACUGCGAUGUUCGUGGAACAUCGGCUCCGCAUGGACCUACAAUAAUUAUAAGGGACGCCGAUAUGCUCUUGCCGUGAAUUGCAGGCCUCCCGCGCCCGGCUUUGACCGUGCGCGGACGUUGGAAGCAGCGCAGCGGCGAGGAGGCGACCCACCUGCAAUUACGCAGGUUAUCAUGGAGCCCCACGGCAUCGCGGUUUUUUU
rnacentral:other from 1 species